rnacentral:rRNA from 1 species
UACGAAGGGGACUAGCGUUGCUCGGAAUCACUGGGCGUAAAGGGUGCGUAGGCGGGUCUUUAAGUCAGGGGUGAAAUCCUGGAGCUCAACUCCAGAACUGCCUUUGAUACUGAAGAUCUUGAGUUCGGGAGAGGUGAGUGGAACUGCGAGUGUAGAGGUGAAAUUCGUAGAUAUUCGGAGGAACACCAGAAGCGAAGGCGGCCAACUGGCCCGAUACUGACGCUGAGGCGCGAAAGCGUGGGGAGCAAACAGG